rnacentral:rRNA from 1 species
AGGCUUAACACAUGCAAGUCGAGCGAGAAAGGGGCUUCGGCCCUGAGUAAAGCGGCGGACGGGUGCGUAACACGUGGAUAAUCUGCCCUUCAGUGGGGAAUAACAUUCCGAAAGGAAUGCUAAUGCCGCAUGUCACAGCGCUUUCUCCGGAUCGCGCUGGAAAAGGGGACGCCCGCAAGGGGUUCUCGCUGGAGGAUGAGUCCGCGGCCCAUCAGCUUGUUGGCGGGGUAAUGGCCCACCAAGGCGAAGACGGGUAGCUGGUCUGAGAGGAUGACCAGCCACACUGGGACUGAGACACGGCCCAG